UUAGAGAAUACACUGAAGAAACGACAUCAUGUAAAAAAUCUGAGGGGAAAUAUCUAAACAUAAAGAGUCUGAAGCUUGUGGCAAUGCUUAUAAAAAGUACAAAACAAUUUGUAUCAGACCCACAAUCAAUCAGACACACAAACAGGGUGAAAAUGACCUGAGCUUGAUUACCACAGAUGUCUCCUUGAUAAAGAGAGACGCCAUAAACAUGCUGAGAUUAAGUGGCUUGAACUUUUAGCACUGAGCGCCCUCUGGUGAGAGCAACAGCAGAGCAAUCGUGAGCAAUUUGGGGUUUGGUGUCUUGCCCAAGGACACUUCGGCAUGUGGAGUCAUGUGGGCCGGGAAUCGAACCGCCGACCCUGUGAUUAGUGAAGAACCCAUAUAAACAUUAUUUAUAUAAAGUUUAUAUUAUAGAAAUAAAUUAGACUAAAGUACUCUUUAUAAAAAAUUACUACAGUAGAGUAGUAUGAUAUAAUUAUACGUAAAAAGUAUCAUUAAUUAAGUGAAACAUACCAUAACAGUGAACAAUGUGUUUAAUUACUGUAAUGAGUCCAUGAUUUCACAGGGUUACGCCUCAUGGUUUUACAUUUGCUUUGUCUUCUGAAACCUCACCCUCUGCAUUUAAACACAUUUUUGAGAAAAUGGAACUAAGGGGAGGAAACGUACACGAGCAGCUCUCAGCAGUGUGAGGUGUAAUACACCUGAAGACUGUGUUUUCAUUAAGAAAUGGCUGAUCACUCAUCAGAUGUCUGUUGAGACAGAUGUAAAUGCAGGCAGAGCAGUUCAAUGGAAACGAGACAAACACUGAGCAAACUCACAGGUAAGUCAGGUGAUCAGGAAACCGGAAAUACUGCGUUUUACAUUUACAUUUACAUCAUUUGGCAGAUGAUCUUAUCCAGAGCGACUUACAUUUAUCUCAUUUAUACAUCUGAACAGUUGAGGGUUAAGGGCCUUGCUCAAGGGCCCAACAGUGGCAGCUUGGCAGUGCUGAGAUUUGAACUCAUGACCUUCUGAUCAGUAGUCCAGCCACUGUAUUAACUACUGACUCUAAGCAAUAAAGUCAAUCAGUAAACAUAGGAACUGGACAUAAACAGGAUCAAACCAGGAAAACAUGGCUUGGUAACAUCAGAACACAUGAUAAGCUGAACAUAUACUUCGCAAAGAAUGAAUGAGUGAAGGUAUUUUUUAAAGGGUGCUUGUGUGUGUGAGGCUGAUUGAAUACAGGUG